rnacentral:rRNA from 1 species
AUUGAACGCUGGCGGCGGGCCUAACACAUGCAAGUCGAGCGGAUGACGGGAGCUUGCUCCUUGAUUCAGCGGCGGACGGGUGAGUAAUACCUAGGAAUCUGCCUGAUAGUGGGGGACAACGUUUCGAAAGGAACGCUAAUACCGCAUACGUCCUACGGGAGAAAGCAGGGGACCUUCGGGCCUUGCGCUAUCAGAUGAGCCUAGGUCGGAUCAGCUAGUUGGUGAGGUAAUGGCUCACCAAGGCGACGAUCCGUAACUGGUCUGAGAGGAUGAUGAGUCACACUGGAACUGAGACACGGUCCAGACUCCUACGGGAGGCAGCAGUGGGGAAUAUUGGACAAUGGGCGAAAGCCUGAUCCAGCCAUGCCGCGUGUGUGAAGAAGGUCUUCGGAUUGUAAAGCACUUUAAGUUGGGAGGAAGGGCAGUAAGCUAAUACCUUGCUGUUUUGACGUUACCGACAGAAUAAGCACCGGCUAACUCUGUGCCAGCCGCCGCCGUAAGAC